GAUGAAGAACGUAGCGAAAUGCGAUACGUAGUGUGAAUUGCAGAAUUCAGUGAAUCAUCGAAUCUUUGAACGCACAUUGCACCUCUCGGUAUUCCGGGAGGUAUGCCUGUUCGAGCGUCAUUUGUACCCUCAAGCUCUGCUUGGUGUUGGGUGUUUGUUCCGCCUCUGUGUGUGAACUCGCCUCAAAACAAUUGGCAGCCGGCAUACUUGUUUCGGAGCGCAGCACAUUUUGCGAUCCAGAUCAACGUACAGCGGCAUCCAAGAAGCCUUAUUUAACGCUCUUGACCUCGGAUCAGGUAGGGAUACCCGCUGAACUUAAGCAUAUCAAUAAGCGGAGGA
rnacentral:misc_RNA from 1 species